UACGACGGGGGCUAGCGUUGCUCGGAAUCACUGGGCGUAAAGGGUGCGUAGGCGGGUCUUUAAGUCAGGGGGGAAAUCCUGGAGCUCAACUCCAGAACUGCCUUUGAUACUGAGGAUCUUGAGUUCGGGAGAGGUGAGUGGAACUGCGAGUGUAGAGGUGAAAUUCGUAGAUAUUCGCAAGAACACCAGUGGCGAAGGCGGCUCACUGGCCCGAUACUGACGCUGAGGCACGAAAGCGUGGGGAGCAAACAGG
rnacentral:rRNA from 1 species